rnacentral:lncRNA from 1 species
GGGAGGGUGCCCUCGUGCUAAGGUAUUUUGUUCACUGGCAGCUGCUGACACCCAGCCAAGAGAAAAGUGCAAGGACCGUCACUAGUAGACCUCAAAGUCAUCUAGGGAAAGGACUCCCAACACUAACACACCCAACUACCAAAAGAAAAAAAAAUCUGAUCAAAAAAUUACAAAUAAUAUGCAAAGCUUAUGUAUAAGUUUAGGUUUCUGUUAGAGUUGGUUCUGAUCUGUAACUGAACUGACAUAUAUGAGUAGAAAAAAAUCAAUAUACAAGACCAGCACAAAAGACACUUAGAAUGUACUGCCUCUGGUAAGUCCAAGUGAGUGCAGAAGAUAGGGCAAGACUCACCAUGUCACAAAGCACACCUUGUUAGGAGAAGCACAUUCCACCCCACCUCAGCAGCCACGGCCAGCCUUCUAUUGAGCCUCCAACUGUACAAGGCCACUGUGAUGUCACAUAGUAACCAUAGACCUGGUAUCUGCCAACCUACACCCCAACUCCUCUGUCAGUGCACCCAUGCUUGGUACCCAAAGCCCUUCCCUGGAGUGCCUACGCUAUGACCACCUCCCUCACCAUUAUCUAUCAAACAAGGUCCAAGCCACAACUUCCCUCCCCUAUCCAAGGGCAAAGGAAGCAACUUGUUUCUUACCUGAACAAUCUUGCCAUUACCAGCUCUGAGAAAGGUGUGCUGGGGCCAGUGUUACUGCAACUUCCCAUCCAGAAGACUACCUAGUGCCCGAGACCAGGCUGCUCUCUGUGUCCUGCAUAAUGUCCACCAAGUAACGUAAUGUUUCUGUUCCAUGUACAUUGUUCAGACAUUUUUAUAGUCUACUGUUCAGCUAGUGCAGCAGGGCUCUGGAGGAGAAGCCCAGCAGGCGUCUGGGCUCAGGUGAGACACACAUGCUUCUUAGACAGGAGAUGGCUUCCCCUGCUGCUCCAGCUGCCCAGUAUACUGUUCUCUCUUCACACACAGACUACUUCCCCCUAGGCAUCCACAUGAAGCUCAAAUGCACAUCAGUUGUACGAUUUAUGAAUAAAGUAUCAAAUAAGU